rnacentral:rRNA from 1 species
UACGUAGGGUGCGAGCGUUGUCCGGAAUUACUGGGCGUAAAGAGCUCGUAGGUGGUUUGUCGCGUUGUCCGUGAAAACUCACAACUCAAUUGUGGGCGUGCGGGCGAUACGGGCAGACUGGAGUACUGCAGGGGAGACUGGAAUUCCUGGUGUAGCGGUGGAAUGCGCAGAUAUCAGGAGGAACACCGGUGGCGAAGGCAGGUCUCUGGGCCAUAACUGACGCUGAGAAGUGAAAGCAUGGGGGAGCGAACAGG